UACAGAGGUCCCAAGCGUUGUUCGGAUUCACUGGGCGUAAAGGGUGCGUAGGUGGUCGGGUAAGUCUGAUGUGAAAUCUCCGAGCUUAACUCGGAAAUGGCAUUGGAUACUAUUCGGCUAGAGGGUUUGAGGGGGGACUGGAAUACUUGGUGUAGCAGUGAAAUGCGUAGAUAUCAAGUGGAACACCAGUGGCGAAGGCGAGUCCCUGGGCAUGUCCUGACGCUGAGGAGCGAAAGUGUGGGGAGCGAACAGG
rnacentral:rRNA from 1 species